UUGACCGAGCGUGAGGGAGAGCAAAUCCCCAACGCCUCUCCCCGCAAUGGCCUCGGUUCACGACCCAGAUCCUGCUCUCCUCUUUCCGCCCCUCGCCCGCCCCAUCAAGAGGCCUCCAUGGCCGCGGGGAGCUCCCGGAUGGGUCGGACGCCGGCCAUCAUCUCCGCCGUAGCGUUGGGUGGCGCGCCUCUCGGCGGCACGGAGGCCUGCGGCAGCCUCAGGGCGGGACGGCGGCAUCCGGCAGCAUCAGGGCAGGGCAAGCGCGGGUCGGGGACGCCGUGGCGGGGCAGGCGGGGGCCGAUGGAGGCGACGUCGGGCCGGAGCAGGCGCAUCCCGGACUGUCGAGGCUCUGCCUUUUCCUCUCCUCUCUUUUACUUCUCUGGCUGUUCUGUCUCUCUUCUCUCAGCAGCGGAUGGGAGGAUGCGGAGCUUUCACAGAACGGGACCAAGGGCGCGGCCAAACCGCCGCCAUGGCCACGCCUACCUCAGCUCUUUCUCUCUCUCAGCCGUUGGCAGCAACGCUUCAAGACUUUGACCUCCGUACGCAUCAGGACUUCGACCUCCGUACGGUAGCGGUGGCAGUCACUUGAUGGGUUCUGCUUCAGCUUGCCAGCGAGGGCACCAUCAGAAUUGAAGGCCUUCUCAAUUCACUGUGGCUACUCGGAAAGCCAACUCCCAGAUUUUGUUCCGGUAGCUAGCAGCUUAUGUCUUGCAUCAGGUUGGACUUUGGACCUCCGAACGGUGUAGGUACUGCAGACGGUGAGACAAAGAUCCGAGCCGCCGAGGUUGGUCUGGCUGCGGUGUUCAUGGUUGCCGCUCUACUGCGACUAGGCAUUGUGGAUGCAGCUAUACACACAUACAACAUGGAGCAAAAGGGUCACCGUCAUUGGGGUGCCGAAAUCUUUGAUUUAGGGCAGCUUGAUUCUUUAUGCAGGCAUGGUCUGUUCAGCCCUCAUGAAGGUGUACAGAGUGACAUGUGGGUAGGAAGGGUGCCAACAAGUUCAAGAAAUGAUGGCAAGAACAGAUCAAGCUCACAAGCAUAGACUAGAUCAUAAUUGUACACAUUCUUUCCUUCUAGACAACAGCUCAUGAGAAAAAGAAGUCAUCAGCUUCCAAGGACUUACUUUCAGCUAAGUAGAACAGCUCACGCCCCAAGCUUGGUGAUUCUUCAGUACACAUUAGCUAAGCAGACAGACUAUCAGUUCUUUCAGUAAAGAUACCCUCCUAUUUGCCACGGUCAUUAUGAUGUUGUUUUAUAGACUGCUAUCUAUCUUUCUUCCUUA